GCUAAACGCGAAGAACCUUACCUGGGCUAGAAAGCGCAAGAACCUCGGUGAAAACUGAGGGUGCCCUUCGGGAACGUUGUGAUUAGGUGCUGCAUGGCUGUCGUCAGCUCGUGUCGUGAGAUGUUGGGUUAAGUCCCGCAACGAGCGCAACCCUUGUCCUUAGUUGCCAGCGAGUAAUGUCGGGAACUCUAAGGAGACUGCCGGUGACAAACCGGAGGAAGGUGGGGAUGACGUCAAGUCCUCAUGGCCCUUACGGCCAGGGCUACACACGUACUACAAUGGUCGGUACAGAGGGUUGCCAAACCGCAAGGUGGAGCCAAUCCCAGAAAGCCGAUCCCAGUCCGGAUCGGAGUCUGCAACUCGACUCCGUGAAGUCGGAAUCGCUAGUAAUCGCGGAUCAGCUAUGCCGCGGUGAAUACGUUCCCGGGUCUUGUACACACCG
rnacentral:rRNA from 1 species